rnacentral:rRNA from 1 species
UGAAAUACCACCCUUUAAUGUUUGAUGUUCUAACGUUGACCCGUAAUCCGGGUUGCGGACAGUGUCUGGUGGGUAGUUUGACUGGGGCGGUCUCCUCCUAAAGAGUAACGGAGGAGCACGAAGGUUGGCUAAUCCUGGUCGGACAUCAGGAGGUUAGUGCAAUGGCAUAAGCCAGCUUGACUGCGAGCGUGACGGCGCGAGCAGGUGCGAAAGCAGGUCAUAGUGAUCCGGUGGUUCUGAAUGGAAGGGCCAUCGCUCAACGGAUAAAAGGUACUCCGGGGAUAACAGGCUGAUACCGCCCAAGAGUUCAUAUCGACGGCGGUGUUUGGCACCUCGAUGUCGGCUCAUCACAUCCUGGGGCUGAAGUAGGUCCCAAGGGUAUGGCUGUUCGCCAUUUAAAGUGGUACGCGAGCUGGGUUUAGAACGUCGUGAGACAGUUCGGUCCCUAUCUGCCGUGGGCGCUGGAGAACUGAGGGGGGCUGCUCCUAGUACGAGAGGACCGGAGUGGACGCAUCACUGGUGUUCGGGUUGUCAUGCCAAUGGCACUGCCCGGUAGCUAAAUGCGGAAGAGAUAAGUGCUGAAAGCAUCUAAGCACGAAACUUGCCCCGAGAUGAGUUCUCCCUGACUCCUUGAG